ACAAUCCGCGUUGUCAUAGACAUGGAAGCCAGCCAACCAACCAGCCAGCUCACCAGCCAGUCAGCUAACCAGCCAGAUAACCAGCCAGCCAACUAACCAGCCAGCCAGCUAGCUAACCAGCCAGCUAACCGCAGCUAACCAGCUAACCGCAGCUAAACAAAACGUGGUUUGAGUCAAUUUCUACCAAAAUUGAAGAUGAUGAACAUCAGCAACCGAGCAUUGGAUAGACUCUACUCUGUUCUCCUCCUGGCCGUGGUGGUACUGUCGUGGACCUACGUCAUCUAUGGGAGUAGAAUAGCAGCACAGAGACAGUUGGAGAAGAGACUCAACAUCAAACUACACAACUAAAGCACCAGCGGCCAGCUCAACUCCAAUACACUGAAGUCCUGAGUUCUGAAUCCCGUGGACAUUCCUAAGACAAAGUCAAGGCCCCUGGACCAGUCUCCAUCCCGUUGCUGUGAUGAAGUCUGUCUUUACUGCUCUUUCUGACUCAUUUAUACUGAAUGCUUUGUUACCAUGUUAGUUUGUCUUAGAUGUGAGUCAUAUUUUUCAUAUCGUGCAAAAUUAUUUUUAUUAAAAAAAUUGA